ACCAGAGUCUCGUGAUACCAAACUGGUAGAAACUAGGGUUCUACCGGCCCUCUGCCUUAGGUUAUAAGGGUAGGAGGGAGGUUGGAGGAGACGAGGGCGCCGCGGCCGGCUCGAUGGCGCCGUCUCGGCGUAGGGAGGAGGCGGCGGCGAGUAGAGGAGGCGGGGGCUAGGGUUAGGGUUCCGGCUCCUCUGGGAGCCGGGCAAUAGAAUUGUCUUAUUGCUUAAUUCCAAAAUAACUGUUUACAUCUGUUUAUAUAAUCUCAAUAACUUGGACUCUAAGAUAACUAAGAUAACUUGAACUCUAAUAUACUUGGACUCUAAGAUAGCUAAGAUAACUUGGGCUAAGCCCGUACUAAUCCUGCCCAUUGGGCCUCCUCCGUUGGUACGUCGUACCGGUCAUAACANNN
rnacentral:lncRNA from 1 species